GUCCACAAAUACUCCAGGGUGUGGAGUGCGUCCACUGUAGCUGCACAGUGGACGUAUUUCCUGCAGUAACUCCACAGUGGGUACACAGUAUAUCCACAGUAGUCUUAUUUUCAAAGUCCACCGUGAAUACAGAAUGCGGAACUACAAAUACAUGACCGUGGAUCCAGAUCCUGGAUUCAAAAAUGCACAUCCUAGAUCCACUGUAACUCCACAGUCUGACUAGGAUCUGCACUUAUUUUUAAUAAUUUGGCCUAAAAAUUAUGGGUGUCAGUGAGAAAAGUUUCGAAAUCUUCCCGGAAACAUUACUUCCUCCACUUUUUAAUGCCAAAGUGGCUAAGAGAUUGCAGAUCUGAUCACAGAACUGUCAUCUCCUGGCCAUUCUGGGUAUCCGUGGGAAUUUUUGAAAAAUCUUUCCGGGAACAUUGCUUCCUCCACUUUUUAAUGCCAAAGUGGUCAAGAGAUUUCAGAUCUGGUCACAGAACUUUCAUCUCUUGGCCACUUUGGGUAUCCGUGGGAAUUUUUGAAAAAUCUUUCCGGAAACAUUGCUUCCUCCACUUUUUAAUGCCAAAGUGGCUAAGAGAUUGCAGAUCUGAUCACAGAACUGUCAUCUCCUGGCCAUUCUGGGUAUCCGUGGGAAUUUUUGAAAAAUCUUUCCGGAAACAUUGCUUCCUCCACUUUUUAAUGCCAAAGUGGCCAAGAGAUUGCAGAUCUGAUCACAGAACUUUCAUCUCCUGGCCAUUCUGGGUAUCCGUGGGAAUUUUUGAAAAAAUCUUUCCGGGAACAUUAUUUCCUCCACUUUUUAAUUCCAAAGUGGUCAAGAGAUUUCAGAUCUGGUCACAGAACUUUUAUCUCUUGGCCACUUUGGGUAUCCCUCGGAAAUUUUUUUAGUGUUUCCGCCAAAUAUCUGCGCGGCGUUAGUGUUUGUGCAAAAAAGUGCAAAAAUGGUGGAACACGCUGACGCUGUGAUGGAAAUUCUCAAUUUUUGGUGGAAAAAAGCAUUGUUAUGUUUUUUUUCUUCUUCCUGUACAUCCCGGACUGCAAAACAACACCAAAGUACUCCGGAAAGUACUAAAUAUCAUAUUACCAGCGUAAUGCCGUACAUGAAUAACAAUCCGGCAGCCAGGCAGCGGCAUCAGCUGCGCGCAAUCACCAUCGACUUCUUCCGGAAGCUGAAGAGUAUGGUAUGCAGACGUACAAAGUGAUGAAAGCAAAGCCCGAAUAUGCAGCCCUCGUGGACUUUAUGCUCUGGCUGGAGGAGCAGAAGGCACGCUAUCUCGAUUCCAAGGGCAUCAUUAUGCUCUAACAUGAGCAAUGAAAAUUUGUGCCCUACGUCUUCCUGGAAGCGCUCAAGAAGUACGACAUGCUCCCACGCUUCAAAACCUCCGUUGUCGGCUUCACAAAUGUCUACCCACUGGCUGAGAAUGAACGUGGGGUGACUUUGAAAUAUUUCACUUGAGGAACUCAAGAAGAUCAUCUUGCAAUGCGAUGAAGAUGACAGGAAUGAGUUUGAGGGUAGUGCCAAGAUACGCUCAAAGAUUGUCUAUUAUGUCGAAGAUUUUAGUAAAUAAACCAUCUCCAGCUACUGUUGAGAUAAAGAAGGAAGAUGUUAAUUCUGCUGCAGCGUAGCAACCGGAAGUAGCUGUUUAGGAGAAUGGUGUACAAAAGUAGAAUAUUUUAAAGCAAAAACCCAGAGCAAUAGAAGCAGAAGUUGAGAAUUUUUGAAUUAAAAAUGAUUCUUUUUCUCCUUAAGAACUUUUGAGUAUCUUGAAGGAGAAAGAAUUCUUGAACUAAUUUGUGAAGAAGGAUAUUUUUCUUCUUAAGAACUUUUGAGUAUUUUGAAGGAGAAAGAGUUCUUGAACUAAUUUGUUAAGAAAGAUCAUUUUCUUAUUAAGAUUUUUUGAGUAUUUUAAAGGAGAUAGAAUUCUUGAAUUGCUUUGUUAUCUUUUUUUCUUAAGAACUUUUGAGUAUUUUGAUGGAGAUAGAAUUCUUGAAUUGAUUUGUUAAGAAAGAUCUUUUUUUCCUUUAAAGAAUUCUUGAAUUAAUUUGUUAAGAAAGGUCUUUUUUUCUUAAGAAACUUUGAGUAUUUUGAAGGAGAAAGAAUUCUUGAAUUAAUUUGUGAACAAAGAUCUUUUUUUCUUAAGAACUUUUGAGUAUAUUGAAGGAGAUAGAAUUCUUGAAUUAAUUUGUUAAGAAAGAUCUUUUUUUCUUAAGAACUUUUUAGUAUUUUGAUGGAGAUAGAAUUCUUGAAUUGAUUUGUUAAGAAAGAUCUUUUUUCCUUUAAAGAAUUCUUGAAUUAAUUUGUGAAGAAAGGUCUUUUUUUCUUAAGAAACUUUGAGUAUUUUGAAGGAGAUAAAAUUCUUGAAUUAAUUUGAGAAGAAAGAUAUUUUUCUUAUUAAGAACUUUUGAGUAUUUUGAAGGAGAUAGAAUUCUUGAAUUGAUUUGUUAAGAAAGAUCUUUUUUCCUUUAAAGAAUUCUUGAAUUAAUUUGUGAAGAAAGGUCUUUUUUUCUUAAAAAACUUUGAGUAUUUUGAAGGAGAUAGAAUUCUUGAAUUAAUUUGAGAAGAAAGAUAUUUUUCUUAUUAAGAACUUUUGAGUAUUUUGAAGGAGAUAGAAUUCUUUAAUUGAUUUGUUAAGAAAGAUCUUUCUUCCUUUAAAGAAUUCUUGAAUUAAUUUGUGAAGAAAGGUCUUUUUUUCUUAAGAAACUUUGAGUAUUUUGAAGGAGAUAGAAUUCUUGAAUUAAUUUGAGAAGAAAGAUAUUUUUCUUAUUAAGAACUUUUGAGUAUUUUGAAGGAGAUAGAAUUCUUGAAUUGAUUUGUUAAGAAAGAUCUUUUUUCCUAUAAAGAAUUCUUGAAUUAAUUUGUGAAGAAAGGUCUUUUUUUCUUAAGAAACUUUGAGUAUUUUGAAGGAGAUAGAAUUCUUGAAUUAAUUUGAGAAGAAAGAUAUUUUUCUUAUUAAGAACUUUUGAGUAUUUUGAAGGAGAAAGAAUUCUUGAAUUAAUUUGUGAAGAAAGAUCUUUUUUUCUUAAGAACGUUUGAGUAUUUUGAAGGAGAUAGAAUUCUUGAAUUAAUUUGUGAAGAAAGAUAUUUUUCUUAUUAAGAACUUUUGAGUAUUUUGAAGGAGAUAGAAUUCUUGAAUUGAUUUGUUAAGAAAGAUCUUUUUUCCUUUAAAGAAUUCUUGAAUUAAAAAUGAUUUUUGUCUGUGUAAAGAAUUUUAGAAUAUCUUGAAAAAGAAAAGAAUCCUUUGAGAAUAGUUAAUUACUUUGUUGAGAAAAAGGAUCUCUUUUUUAAAAGUGUUCAUUGAAUUAAAAAUGAUUUUUUUUUCAGUGUAUAUAAAGAGUUUUUGGUAGUGUCUUGUGAUGAAAUUUCAAAAUUAAAAGAGCAAUAUUUGUUUGUUGUGACGACUGAUAGUACACGAUUUAUUAUAAGAUGAAUUGUAAUAAAAAAAUUAAUAAAAAAAUGUUAUGAAUAAUAUAAAAAAAAAAUAAAAUAAAUGUAAAUUUUAAAAAUCUGAAUCUCAAAUUAUAAAUUAUAUGUAUUUUUAUGUAUGUGAAUUAUUAAUAUAAAAAAUAAAAAUAAAUUGAUUUUUACG